CUCUCCAGACAGACAGCCACCCUGUCACUGACACCAGGUUGACAGCUGUUGUUUGUUACUUAUGCUGAGUAAGACAAUCAGCCCAGCAGGAACACUUGGAACAUGAAUGCCAGUUAAUUAAUUCUGUGUACAGAGAAUUUGAAUGCAUUGCCUUGAAGAACACAAUGGACAAAACAGCUAUGGGGAAUCACUCAAACGAAAAUUGUGGUGACUCCUUCUUCAAUUGAGGACAAUCCAAAGUUGCUUGAGUUCCCCAGACUUGCCUCCUUAUCAACGAAUAAUCAGCUCUGGGGCUCCCUCUAGUGACCACAGCACUGAGAGCUGUGUUUCUGUCGGAGGGGUGAGAAAGCGUAACCAGAGACCCUCACAGCACGUUGGUGAGGUCUCUCCUGGGGCUGGGCUACCUCCGUAGGGUCACCGAGCAUCAGGUCGUCUGCAUUCCACACUGGACAUCUGAUAGGCCCCAUCCGAGUGUCCCUGUCACAGCCCAUCAUCUCUAUAAGGGCCCCAGAGGGAGAGCUGGUCUUGGGGCUUCUCCAUCGUCUGCACCACAGAGCCACAGGAGUACCAAGGAGGCUCUUUCCACCUCACCUCUGAUGGGUCAGCUGAGAUCUGGACUGAGCUGGCUGUCAAUCACUCUGCAUCUUUCUACUUUCCUAAGGCAGACUUUAUCCUUGCAGGGAACUACAGCUGCAUCUAUGAGGUCACUUUGGCCACACGUCUGUUCACCUCAGGAAAGACAGAUGUGCUUUGUGUGAUCAUAAGAGCACUGACUUGGAGUGGUCUUACCAUAUGGCAUCUGCACAUCCCUCUGUGUUGUAUGGAGCAACACUUGGGCUGUUGCUUCUCCUGAUGCUUCUGUGCUCAGUGCUACUGUUGAACAAAAAGAAGGCUAAAUAUGUGGUCAAUGAGGAGCACUGGCCCAUGAGUUCAUUUGAAGUACCGCAGAGUUCAUACCAUAUGAAGACAAAGAAGAUACCAAAUCCGAUGGAUGAAGAACAUGUCCUCCAUGAAUUUUCAUUGUUAGUUGACCUCAGUAUAUAGUUGUGGUUAAAGAUUUAUGUUUUUGCUUCACUGAUUUGAUUGUUGUGCCAUAUUUGUCAGAAUUAAUCCUCUAUUUAUUGUUCAUUGCAGUUUUUCUCAACAGUAAUGGUAGAAAUUAUUAAGGAUCUAAGCAGAGAAACUUGGGCGGUGGGUAGUAUAGUGGUUAAGGAGCUGGGCUAGCAUGUAGUAGCCUUGAAAGUUGUGGAUUCAAUUCCAGGCUUCCACCAUUGUGCCCUUGAGCAAGGCACUUAACCCCAAAUUGUUCCGUGGACAAUGUAGUUGUGAAGUGUCUGCUAAAUUAAUAAAUGUAAAUGUCACUUCUAUUUUUUUUAAAGGAUUCUUAAAGGAGAAAUCCGUCGAUUAUUCGCAUAGAUCUACAUUUCUCAAGGUCACGAGUACCGACAGUACAAACCCCCCCCAAAACAACCGGUUGGACUUUUCUUGAGUUGCUGCAGCCAACAGCUAAACCAGGCAGGCAGCUACA